AAAGCCACAAUGGGAGAACAACUAUUUCGGACUGUAUACCUACAUACCGUGGUCACUAUUAUCGGUAUAGGCGCGUAGUCGAUCGUGCGGUUCAAACAACGAAGUUUUGCCGUAUGAUAAAUCGCCGAAAUCCAAACAGUUCAAAACAAGACGGAUACUCUUAGCAUAAUAUAUCAUACUGCGUUAAUGACUGACACGCCGGAACGCAAAUGAGUAAAACGUUUUUCGGAA